rnacentral:snRNA from 1 species
AUGCCUUAAACUUAAUGAAUAAGGUAAAUAAUGAGUAAGGAAAAUAAUGAUUCUGGGUGAUGCCCAAAUCCUCACUGCUAAUAGAGACGAAUUUUUGUGCGGGUAAAGGUUGCCCCUAAGAUGACCUGCCUAUUUUGUGGGAUGCCUGGGAGUCAUUAUCUGCCUG